rnacentral:rRNA from 1 species
GAUGAACGCUAGCGGCAGGCUUAAUACAUGCAAAUCGAGGGACAGCACAGGUAGCAAUACUGGGUGGUAACCGGCAAACGGGUGCGGAACACGUACACAACCUUCCUUUAAGUGGGGGAUAGCCCAGAGACAUUUGGAUUAAUACCCCGUAAUAUAGUUGAAUGCCAUCAUUUGAUUAUUAUAGCUACGGCGCUUAAUGAUGGGUGUGCGGCUGAUUAGAUAGUUGGCGGGGUAACGGCACACCAAGUCUACGAGCAGUAGCUGAUGUGACAGCGUGAUCAUCCAUAGAGGCACUGAGUAACGAGCCCGACUCCUGCGGGAGGCAGCAGUAAGGAAUAUUGGUCAAUGGAGGAAAGUCUGAACCAGCCAUGCCGCAUGAAGGAUUAAGGUCCUCUGGAUUGUAAACUUAUGUUAUUUGGGACGAAAAAGGGCCUUUCUAGGUCAACUGACGGUACCAGAUGAAUAAGCACCGGCUAACUCCGAGCCAGCCGCCGCUGUAAAAC